AUCUGCCCUUCAGUCCGGGACAACUUUCCGAAAGGGGAGCUAAUACCGGAUAACAAUGUUUGACAUAAGUUGGAUAUUUGAAAGCUCCGGCGCUGAUGGAUGAGUCUGCGUCCCAUUAGCUUGUUGGUGCGGUAGUGGCGCACCAAGGCCACGAUGGGUAGCGGGUUUGAGAGGACGAUCCGCCACACUGGAACUGAGACACGGUCCAGACUCCUACGGGAGGCAGCAGUGGGGAAUAUUGCACAAUGGAGGAAACUCUGAUGCAGCAAUGCCGCGUGAGUGAAGAAGGCCCUUGGGUCGUAAAGCUCUUUUAUGGGGGAAGAUGAUGACGGUACCCCAAGAAUAAGCACCGGCUAACUACGUGCCAGCAGCCGCGGUAAUACGUAGGGUGCGAGCGUUGUUCGGAAUUACUGGGCGUAAAGGGCGCGCAGGCGGAGGUGCAAGUCGGAGGUGAAAGCCCGGGGCUCAACCCCGGAGGGUCUUUCGAAACUGCAUCUCUAGAGAGGGUCAGGGGCCGGCAGAAUUCCUGGUGUAGAGGUGAAAUUCGUAGAUAUCAGGAGGAAUACCGGUGGCGAAAGCGGCCGGCUGGGGCCACUCUGACGCUGAGGCGCGAAAGCGU
rnacentral:rRNA from 1 species